CAGCUCCAAAGAAGAACAUCUCUUCUCUCCAGCAUGUGGCUACUUUUGCAAGAGUGGCUUCUUGUGACAGCACCUAGAACAGAACUGGGCUACUUGAAGGCGAAAAGCAGGUGUUUCUCAAGAGACAGUAAAAGGAAAGGAAGAGAGGAGCGGAGACAGCCAGGAGGAGGAGGAAAUGGAAGCCUGAGACCUGUACUUUCCUACAUACUUGUUGUUCUAAGAUUUUAAAAUCAGCUUGCACCAACUAACGGACUUCAGAACGAGGCUCACAGGCAGCCGAGGUGAUGGAAGUGGAUUUAACAUUUCAGGCCCUUUGGUGGAAAUUACCAGGCUCCGACUCCUGUUAUGGUGUUGUGCAUCUGCUGCUGCAGUGGAGGAACUGAAGGGGCCACAGAGGCAGCAUCUGCAUGAGCUUUUAGGGGAAAAUA